ACAACUGCUCUCACAAAAAAAAGCUUACAGGAUUUUAUUUCAAUAAAGUUAAGUAAACUACGAGCAUUCGUAUCAACUUUAAAAUCAAUAAUUAUGGCAGCUUGCAGUGUUUUAGUUCAAAAUCUAAUAAGCUAUUAUGGAAAAUAAAACUGAUAUCUGUUGAUUACACUAAUUUUAAAUGUAACUUACUAGCACAUCAAAUAGGACUUUCUGGAAACUUCCUAUAUUUUACUAUUAUAUCAAUGUUAAUAGGGGAAAGGCCUGGUCAGAGAAACAGGGAAGAGUGUCUACACUUCACACCAGCUUCUAAAUUUGAACUAACUGCAAAACAAAUGUUACUGUAGCCAAGAGGGGGUUUGGGGCGAGGGUUGGUACUCUAUUUUCAAUACAUUUCAGGCAGGUGGCAAUACAGAGCACCAGCUCACCCGGGGAAGCAUCGCAGGAAGUCACAGGACUCUGAAGUUAGUUUAUAUGGCAACCACAAUUUAAACGCGGCUGCCUGACAAAGAAAUAGUGCCUUUCUGAACUUAAUUUUCAUGUGUACGUUCGGUUUUCAUAGAAAUAAAAGAUAUUAAAAAAAUUUAGUCUGACAAUUUUUUAAACUGCCUUAAGGCCACUACUUAAUAUUUCUAGGCAAAAAUUUUUACGUUGCUAUAUUGUACUUAAACUUUUGCAAUAAUCCACAAUAAUACAACACAAUUUGACAAUCUGCAAUCAGAAAUCUUGCAACAAACCAUACAACACUGAGAAAUACACCACAUUCUGCUAAGUCUGACAACCUUAACAGCGGCUUAAAAGGAACCAACUUUGAUUGAACAUUUCAUUGGGUAUUACGUAAAUGUUAGGACUGUUUCUAUAGUAACGAAGCCCGUUUAUCGAAACUGGCCGAUACUUCAGCUCCCUGUUGCUUUGGGAGUGCGCCUCGGGUUUCCGUUUCUAUUUCUCUCCGUGAUAGGAAGCGCCGACCGGAGCGUGAAAGAUUUCAUAAUUUUCCAAUGGGCAAAUACCAGCAGAGUGAAUGACCUCCCAUUCAUCAUCAAAGUCCUCAGAUUGACCCAAAAGAGCAAUACGGUUAGGAUUAAUUAGUGCAUCAGUGUGAUUAAAAUUCUUGGAACAACAAUGAGCUGUUGGUUGAAUUCUUCCAUGUUCAUUGCUCUGAAUCUUUCUGCAGAAUCUGAAAUCUUUGUUAAUCCCACAGGCAAUGGGGAAACGAGCUGGAAAAGUACUACCCUUCCUGAAGAUGUUCCAACAGCAACAAGGUCAUCAAAACAAGCCAACAAUUUCACUACUCUAAUAGUAUCAGUUUUACCCUUAAUGAGAAAGAAAACUCUUUUAGUAAACAACUAUAUCACAAGUUUAACAAAACAUACACAAGGCUAUUCGAUUUAAUUUAUUUCGAAAAUACACGAGUACAUUCUAGUACUUUCUUAAAACCUGUCAGCAUCUCAGAAGGAUGAAUCUAACUUAUCACUGAUAUUAUUCUCAAUGCUUUGCACUAAUGGUAAAAUAGAAAGAUAAAAAUGUUUAUCCUACUUCUCUCCUGGUCCUAAGCAAAUUUUGUUCACAUAACUACAGCAACAGACUAACGUUCAAACGUACCUCUAGAUUAUAUUUUGUCAUCUUGUUCAGCCGUCUGCAGUAGAGAUAAAGCAUACCGAUA